rnacentral:rRNA from 1 species
GGUCUCUAUCUGCCAUGGGCGCAGGAGAUUUGCGUGGGGCUGUCCUUAGUACGAGAGGACCGGGAUGGACGGACCUCUAGUGUACCGGUUGUCGCGCCAGCGGCAGCGCCGGGUAGCUACGUCCGGAAGGGAGAAACGCUGAAGGCAUCUAAGCGUGAAACCCUCCACAAGAUGAGAUCUCCCGAGCCGUAAGGCUCCUAAAGGCUCCUGGAAGAUGACCAGGUGAUAGGUCGGGUGUGUAAGCGCGGUGACGCGUUGAGCUUACCGAUACUAAUCAGCCGUGAGGCUUGACCAUAAAU